rnacentral:rRNA from 1 species
GGUGAGUAACGCGUGGGAACGUGCCCUUUACUACGGAAUAGCUUCUGGAAACGGAAGGUAAUACCGUAUACGCCCUUCGGGGGAAAGAUUUAUCGGUGAAGGAUCGGCCCGCGUUAGAUUAGAUAGUUGGUGGGGUAAUGGCCUACCAAGUCUACGAUCUAUAGCUGGUCUGAGAGGAUGAUCAGCCACACUGGGACUGAGACACGGCCCAGACUCCUACGGGAGGCAGCAGUGGGGAAUCUUGCACAAUGGGCGAAAGCCUGAUGCAGCUAUGCCGCGUGAAUGAUGAAGGCCUUAGGGUUGUAAAAUUCUUUCGCCAGGGAUGAUAAUGACAGUACCUGGUAAAGAAGCCCCGGCUAACUUCGUGCCAGCAGCCGCGGUAAUACGAAGGGGGCUAGCGUUGUUCGGAAUUACUGGGCGUAAAGCGCGCGUAGGCGGGCUGUUAAGUCAGAUGUGAAAGCCCGGGGCUCAACCCCGGAACUGCAUUUGAAACUAGCAGCCUAGAGACCAGGAGAGGUUAGCGGAAUACCGAGUGUAGAGGUGAAAUUCGUAGAUAUUCGGUGGAACACCAGUGGCGAAGGCGGCUAACUGGACUGGUACUGACGCUGAGGCGCGAAAGUGUGGGGAGCAAACAGGAUUAGAUACCCUGG